AUCCAUCUGACGAGUCCCAAAUAGCAAGAAACGCGCGUCAAAUUGGAU
rnacentral:hammerhead_ribozyme from 1 species